UACGGAGGGGGCUAGCGUUGUUCGGAAUUACUGGGCGUAAAGCGCACGUAGGCGACUUUGUAAGUUAGAGGUGAAAGCCCGGGGCUCAACUCCGGAACUGCCUUUAAGACUGCAUCGCUUGAAUCCAGGAGAGGUGAGUGGAAUUCCGAGUGUAGAGGUGAAAUUCGUAGAUAUUCGGAAGAACACCAGUGGCGAAGGCGGCUCACUGGACUGGUAUUGACGCUGAGGUGCGAAAGCGUGGGGAGCAAACGGG
rnacentral:rRNA from 1 species